GACCCGCACAAGCGGUGGAGCAUGUGGUUUAAUUCGAAGCAACGCGAAGAACCUUACCAAAUCUUGACAUCCUUUGACAACUCUAGAGAUAGAGCCUUCCCCUUCGGGGGACAAAGUGACAGGUGGUGCAUGGUUGUCGUCAGCUCGUGUCGUGAGAUGUUGGGUUAAGUCCCGCAACGAGCGCAACCCUUAAGCUUAGUUGCCAUCAUUAAGUUGGGCACUCUAAGUUGACUGCCGGUGACAAACCGGAGGAAGGUGGGGAUGACGUCAAAUCAUCAUGCCCCUUAUGAUUUGGGCUACACACGUGCUACAAUGGACAAUACAAAGGGCAGCGAAACCGCGAGGUCAAGCAAAUCCCAUAAAGUUGUUCUCAGUUCGGAUUGUAGUCUGCAACUCGACUACAUGAAGCUGGAAUCGCUAGUAAUCGUAGAUCAGCAUGCUACGGUGAAUACGUUCCCGGGUCUUGUACACACCGCCCGUCACACCACGAGA
rnacentral:rRNA from 1 species